UACGGAGGGUGCAAGCGUUAUCCGGAUUCACUGGGUUUAAAGGGUGCGUAGGCGGGUUGGUAAGUCCGUGGUGAAAUCCCCAAGCUUAACUUGGGAACUGCCGUGGAUACUAUCAAUCUUGAAUAUCGUGGAGGUAAGCGGAAUAUGUCAUGUAGCGGUGAAAUGCUUAGAUAUGACAUAGAACACCAAUUGCGUAGGCAGCUUACUACACGAUCAUUGACGCUGAGGUGCGAAAGCGUGGGGAGCAAACAGG
rnacentral:rRNA from 1 species